GACUUUGAUGUGUCAUUUUUACUCAUUGUGUAUUUUGGUUCAGGAAUUUGAUGUAAGUGAAAUGAAUGUCUAAUCAAGCUAGUUGAAAAGUAUGGUGUAGAAGAUGGUCUAUCAUUGCAAAGUUUUUACCAGGUCGAAUAGUAUGGUAACAAGUGGGUAGAAAUAGCAAGGUUUCUACCUGGAAGGACUGACAAUGCAAUUAUAAAUGACUGGAAUGGGGCAUUCAAGAGGAAAGAACAUUCAUACUCUCACAAUGGUAAAUGGGAGAUGCAUCCUGAUAUAAUCACAUGCUGAUUCAAGACGUCAAGAAGCACAGCGUCUUGGUUGUAUUCUGAGGGCUAAGGUUAUCAAGGCAAAUGCUGGUCUUACCCCUGAGCAUUAUCAGUUUUUCCUGUACCAGCUUGUUCGUGGUUUAAAGUAUAUUCAUACAGCAAGUGUAUUUCAUCAAGAUUUAAAGCCAAAAAAUAUCCUUACUAAUGCUGACUGCAAAUUAAAGAUAUGAAACAUUGGGCUUGCUCGACUAUCUUUCAAUGAUGCCCCAUAUACUAUUUUUUAGAUUGUAAGUUGCCACCAAAUGAUACGCUAAAAGCAAACAUAUAAUUUAACCCUAGAAAUGUCAUCGUUAGUAUAUAGUAAAUAGGGCUCGUUCUAUUCCGGAGAUUGAGGGUA